rnacentral:rRNA from 1 species
CCUACGGGAGGCAGCAGUGAGGAAUAUUGGUCAAUGGACGCAAGUCUGAACCAGCCAUGCCGCGUGCAGGAAGAAGGCUCGAUGAGUUGUAAACUGCUUUUGUAGGAGGGUAAAUCGCGAUACGUGUAUCGGGUUGAAAGUAGCGUACGAAUAAGGAUCGGCUAACUCCGUGCCAGCAGCCGCGGUAAUACGGAGGAUUCAAGCUUUCUCCGGAUUUAUUGGGUUUAAAGGGUGCGUAGGCGGGUCGAUAAGUUAGAGGUGAAAUCCCGGGGCUCCACUCCGGCACUGCCUCUGAUACUGUCGGGCUAGAGUUUACUUGCGGUAGGCGGAAUGUUUUGUGUAGCGG